UGAACGACUCUCGGCAACGGAUAUCUCGGCUCUUGCAUCGAUGAAGAACGUAGCGAAAUGCGAUACUUGGUGUGAAUUGCAGAAUCCCGUGAACCAUCGAGUCUUUGAACGCAAGUUGCGCCUGAAGCCAUUAGGCUGAAGGCACGUCUGCCUGGGCGUCACAC
rnacentral:rRNA from 3 species